GACGAACGCUGGCGGCACGCUUAACACAUGCAAGUCGAACGUGAAGCCCCGAGCUUGCUCGGGGUGGAAAGUGGCGAACGGGUGAGUAACACGUGAGGAACCUGCCCCGAAGACCGGAAUAACACCGGGAAACCGGUGCUAAUACCGGAUGCCCUCACCGGACCGCAUGAUCCGGUGAGGAAAUGGAUUCCGCUUCGGGAUGGCCUCGCGGCCUAUCAGCUUGUUGGUGGGGUAACGGCCCACCAAGGCUUCGACGGGUAGCUGGUCUGAGAGGAUGUCCAGCCACACUGGGACUGAGACACGGCCCAGACUCCUACGGGAGGCAGCAGUGGGGAAUCUUGCGCAAUGGGCGAAAGCCUGACGCAGCGAUGCCGCGUGCGGGAUGAAGGCCUUCGGGUUGUAAACCGCUUUCAGCAGGGACGAAAUUGACGGUACCUGCAGAAGAAGCCCCGGACAACUACGUGCCAGCAGCCGCGGUAACAC
rnacentral:rRNA from 1 species